CGGCCGCGGGAUUCGAUUAGAGUUUGAUCAUGGCUCANNUUGAACGCUGGCGGAAUGCUUUACACAUGCAAGUCGAACGGCAGCACGGGGCAACCUGGUGGCGAGUGGCGAACGGGUGAGUAAUAUAUCGGAACGUGCCCAAUCGUGGGGGAUAACGUAGCGAAAGUUACGCUAAUACCGCAUACGAUCUACGGAUGAAAGCGGGGGAUCGCAAGACCUCGCGCGAAUGGAGCGGCCGAUAUCAGAUUAGGUAGUUGGUGGGGUAAAGGCUCAUCAAGCCAACGAUCUGUAGCUGGUCUGAGAGGACGACCAGCCACACUGGAACUGAGACACGGUCCAGACUCCUACGGGAGGCAGCAGUGGGGAAUUUUGGACAAUGGGCGCAAGCCUGAUCCAGCCAUUCCGCGUGCAGGAUGAAGGCCUUCGGGUUGUAAACUGCUUUUGUACGGAACGAAACGGUCUGCUCUAAUACGGCGGGCUAAUGACGGUACCGUAAGAAUAAGCACCGGCUAACUACGUGCCAGCAGCCGCGGUAAUACGUAGGGUGCAAGCGUUAAUCGGAAUUACUGGGCGUAAAGCGUGCGCAGGCGGUUAUAUAAGACAGAUGUGAAAUCCCCGGGCUCAACCUGGGAACUGCAUUUGUGACUGUAUAGCUAGAGUACGGCAGNNNGGGAUGGAAUUCCGCGUGUAGCAGUGAAAUGCGUAGAUAUGCGGAG
rnacentral:rRNA from 1 species